rnacentral:rRNA from 1 species
GACGAACGCUGGCGGCGUGCCUAAUACAUGCAAGUUGAGCGCUGAAGGUUGGUACUUGUACCAACUGGAUGAGCAGCGAACGGGUGAGUAACGCGUGGGAAAUCUGCCUUUGAGCGGGGGACAACAUUUGGAAACGAAUGCUAAUACCGCAUAAAAACUUUAAACACAAGUUUUAAGUUUGAAAGAUGCAAUUGCAUCACUCAAAGAUGAUCCCGCGUUGUAUUAGCUAGUUGGUGAGGUAAAGGCUCACCAAGGCGAUGAUACAUAGCCGACCUGAGAGGGUGAUCGGCCACAUUGGGACUGAGACACGGCCCAAACUCCUACGGGAGGCAGCAGUAGGGAAUCUUCGGCAAUGGACGAAAGUCUGACCGAGCAACGCCGCGUGAGUGAAGAAGGUUUUCGGAUCGUAAAACUCGGUUGGUAGAGAAGAACGUUGGUGAGAGUGGAAAGCUCAUCAAGUGACGGUAACUACCCAGAAAGGGACGGCUAACUACGUG